rnacentral:lncRNA from 1 species
CAAGUUUCUGAACCAAAUUGUCGUAGACGUCAAGCUAGGGGCAAAAUCGUCCAACUUUUUCUGUAAAAUCUGAAACAGAAAACAAACGACAUCAGUGCGUUCAGGACAUCAAAAUAAGUAAACUGCCCGAAAAAAGCUCGCCGGAGGUCCGGCCACGCGCCACCGCACGCGCCGCCACCGGAGCCACGCGCUGCCGCCGGAGCCGCCGCCGUCAGGUCACGCGCCCCACCACAGGGUGCGCCUCCUCCUGCUGGUCAUGGUUCCAUGGUCCAUUUCGCCGGAAAGUCAAUAGGUUGGCCGGAAAUCAAGUUUUUCAGAUUCGGUUAGAAAGUGGUAAUGUCGAUUCCUUGCUGGUUUUUGAUCGAUUUUGGACUAAUAUCACUCCUCCUAGCUCUGAUACCAGUUUGUUGGGGAUCCUAGGAGUUCAAUCAACCAAAACAUCAACCCAUAGACAAGAUUCAAGGCAAAACAAUGAAAAAAUGGGAUGGAAAAAUACAACCUGUGUUCGGCCGGAAAUUUCUGCAGUUUUCCUUCCUCGUUUCAAUAGCUUCUUCUUCGAUUUAUGGGUGUUUUUCAGGCUCAGGAACAGCCUUCC